rnacentral:rRNA from 1 species
GGCGGCAGGCCUAACACAUGCAAGUCGAGCGGAAACGACACUAACAAUCCUUCGGGUGCGUAAUGGGCGUCGAGCGGCGGACGGGUGAGUAAUGCCUAGGAAAUUGCCUUGAUGUGGGGGAUAACCAUUGGAAACGAUGGCUAAUACCGCAUAAUGCCUACGGGCCAAAGAGGGGGAUCUUCGGACCUCUCGCNUCAAGAUAUGCCUAGGUGCGAUUAGCUAGUUGGUGAGGUAAUGCGUCACCAAGGCGACGAUCCCUAGCUGGUCUGAGAGGAUGAUCAGCCACACUGGAACUGAGACACGGUCCAGACUCCUACGGGAGGCAGCAGUGGGGAAUAUUGCACAAUGGGCGAAGCCUGAUGCAGCCAUGCCGCGUGUAUGAAGAAGGCCUUCGGGUUGUAAAGUACUUUCAGUUGUGAGGAAGGGUGUGUAGUUAAUAGCUGCGCAUCUUGACGUUAGCAACAGAAGAAGCACCGGCUAACUCCGUGCCAGCAGCCGCGGUAAUAC